GUGGGGAAUAUUGGGCAAUGGGCGAAAGCCUGACCCAGCAACGCCGCGUGAAGGAAGAAGGUCUUCGGAUCGUAAACUUCUAUCCUUGGUGAAGAUAAUGACGGUAGCCGAGAAGGAAGCCCCGGCUAACUACGUGCCAGCAGCCGCGGUAAUACGUAGGGGGCAAGCGUUGUCCGGAAUGAUUGGGCGUAAAGGGCGCGUAGGCGGCCUGGUAAGUCUGGAGUGAAAGUACUGCUUUUAAGGUGGGAAUUGCUUUGGAUACUGUCGGGCUUGAGUGCAGGAGAGGUAAGUGGAAUUCCCGGUGUAGCGGUGAAAUGCGUAGAGAUCGGGAGGAACACCAGUGGCGAAGGCGACUUACUGGACUGUAACUGACGCUGAGGCGCGAAAGUGUGGGGAGCAAACAGGAUUAGAAACCCGUGUAGUCC
rnacentral:rRNA from 1 species